AAACACACACAAACACCGAUAUGCAGAUCGGUAGGCAUUUUGAGGUUAAGUGCCUUGCCCAGGGGAACAUUGAUAUGUUGCAGAAGGAAUCUGGAAUUGAACCUACAACCUCCCGAUCACAAGAAAACUACUCUACCCACA